rnacentral:rRNA from 1 species
CCUACGGGUGGCAGCAGUGGGGGAUAUUGCACAAUGGGGGGAACCCUGAUGCAGCGACGCCGCGUGGGUGAAGGAGUGCUUCGGCAUGUAAAGCCCUAUCGGCAGGGAAGAAGCAAGACGGUACCUGACUAAGAAGCCCCGGCUAACUACGUGCGAGCAGCCGCGGUAAUACGUAGGGGGCAAGCGUUAUCCGGAUUUACUGGGUGUAAAGGGGGCGCAGACGGCAGCGCAAGCCAGGAGUGAAAGCCCGGGGCCCGACCCCGGGACUGCUCUUGGAACUGCGCGGCUGGAGUGCAGGAGGGGCAGGCGGAAUUCCUGGUGUAGCGGUGAAAUGCGUAGAUAUCAGGAGGAACACCGGUGGCGAAGGCGGCCUGCUGGACUGCGACUGACGUUGAGGCCCGAAAGCGUGGGGAGCAAACAGGAUUAGAUACCCCUGUAGUC